AGCGACCCGUGAACCGGUUGGAACAGAACUCUGAGCGGGGGAGGGCGACGGCCCGCCCGAGGCCUCUCCCGGCAACCAAACCCCGGCGCCCCAGGCGCCAAGGAAACGAAACAGAGCGGGGCACGCCCGCCGGCGGCGCCGGCGUGGCGUCUCAUGCCAUUUGGAUCCGAAAUGACUCUCGGCAACGGAUAUCUCGGCUCUCGCAUCGAUGAAGAACGUAGCGAAAUGCGAUACUUGGUGUGAAUUGCAGAAUCCCGUGAACCAUCGAGUCUUUGAACGCAAGUUGCGCCCGAAGCCACUAGGCCGAGGGCACGUCUGCCUGGGUGUCACACAACGUCGCCAACGCCCGGUCCUCCGGGCGCGGCGGAUGAUGGCCUCCCGGGGGCCUCGCCCCCGGCCGGCUGAAAGAGGGGCCCGACGUGACGGCCGCCACGAUCCACGGUGGUUGAGUGAACACUCGCUCGAGGCCAUGACGUGCGCGCGUCGUCCCGCGGCGAGGGCCCGCCGGCGAGGGCAACCAUGCGACAGCAGGGAGCCCCCCACUCGUACGCGACCCCAGGUCAGNCGGGGCUACCCGCUGAGUUUAAGCAUAUCANUAAGCGGAGGA
rnacentral:rRNA from 1 species